rnacentral:rRNA from 1 species
UACGGGGGGGGCAAGCGUUGUUCGGAAUUACUGGGCGUAAAGCGCGUGUAGGCGGCUAAGUAAGUCGGGCGUGAAAUCCCACGGCUCAACCGUGGAAGUGCACUCGAAACUGCAUAGCUAGAGUCCUGGAGAGGAAGGUGGAAUGCUUGGUGUAGAGGUGAAAUUCGUAGAUAUCAAGCGGAACACCGGUGGCGAAGGCGGCCUUCUGGACAGUGACUGACGCUGAGACGCGAAAGCGUGGGGAGCAAACAGGG